CCUGUUGCAAAGUAUCAUGGAGAGGGGAUCCUGGAAAAAGUUGAAGAGGGGGAGAAGGAUUCAUCGGCACAGACAGAGACAUUUUUGCGGAGGCAGAUGACCAGUUCUCCACAAAGCGUCCAGAGCUUUCAUGAAAUUCCUCUGUGAGAAAAGAAUUUCAGGCUGUAAUAGAGGAGUCAGAUCUUUACUGGUUCCAGCCUUCUCAUUGAUUCAAUGCUUAUGGAGCAUGCAUAUAAUAGUUUUUCC